GCCAAGAUGCAUAAUGGAUGAUCUAAUGCAGUGUUUCCCAAUCUUGGUCCUUGGGACCCAAAGUACUGCCUAUUUUCCAUUUGUCCCUGAUGUAAUCAGACCAGAUCAGCUCAGUCAGGUGUGUUCAACCAAUCA